rnacentral:tRNA from 1 species
CCUCAGGUAGCUUAAUGGUAAAGCACCCAACCGGCAAUUGGGGGAUCUGGGUUCAAGUCCAGACCCGGGCU